UACGAAGGGUGCAAGCGUUACUCGGAAUUACUGGGCGUAAAGCGUGCGUAGGUGGUUCGUUAAAUCUGAUGUGAAAGCCCUGGGCUCAACCUGGGAAUGGCAUUGGAAACUGGCGAUCUAGAGUGCGGUAGAGGGUAGUGGAAUUCCCGGUGUAGCAGUGAAAUGCGUAGAGAUCGGGAGGAACAUCUGUGGCGAAGGCGACUGCCUGGACCAGCACUGACACUGAGGCACGAAAGCGUGGGGAGCAAACAGGG
rnacentral:rRNA from 1 species